CACACCGCCCGUCAAGUCAUGGGAGUUGGUUCUACCUGAAGACGCUGUGCUAACCGCAAGGAGGCAGGCGGCCACGGUAGGGUCAAUGACUGGGACU
rnacentral:rRNA from 1 species